rnacentral:siRNA from 1 species
UAAUAUCGUGUGGGCCGAUGG